UCAUGCACGAAAGCGUGGGAGCAAACAGGAUUAGAUACCUCUGGUGUCCACGCCCUAAACGAUGUCAACUAGCUGUUGGGGCCUUCUCGGGCCUUGGUAGCGUGGCCACCUUAGUUGACCGCCUGGGGAGAGUACGGUCGCAAGAUUAAAACUCAAAGGAAUUGACGGGGACUCGCACAAAGCGGUGGAUGAUGUGAUUGAAUUCGAUGCAACGCGAAAAACCUUUACCUACCCUUGACAUGUCUGGAAUCCCGAAGAGAUUUUGGGAGUGCUCGCAAGAGAACCGGAACGAUGUGGUGCCGUGCGCUGUCGUCAGCUCGUGUCGAGAUGCUGGGUUAAGUCCUGCAACGAGCGCAACCCUUGUCAUUAUUGCUACGAAAGCGGCACUUAAUGAGACUGCCGGUGACAAACCGGAGGAAGGUGGGGAUGACGUCAAGUCCUCAUGGCCCUUAUGGGUAGGGCUUCACACGUCAUACAAUGGUCGGGACAGAGGGCCGCUAACCCGCAGGGGAGCUAAUCCCAGAAACCCGAUCGUAGUCCGAAUCGCAGUCUGCAACUCGACUGCGUGAAGUCGGAAUCGCUAUACACCGUGGAUCAGUACAUGUCGCGGUGAAUACGUUCCCGGGUCUUGUACACACCGCCCGUCACACCAUGGGGAGUGGGUUUUACCAGAAGUAGUUAGCCUAACCGUAAGGAGGGCGAUUACCACGGUAGGAUUCAUGAUCGGGGUGAAGUCGUAACAAGGUAG
rnacentral:misc_RNA from 1 species